UGAGUUUAUAAUGGGAGUCUAUGGGAGGAGGUUGGAGUGGAUGACAUCACAGCUAGAGUGGGAGAAGGGCUGAAACUGCUUUAAGACAUUUUGUUUGACUUGUCCUCACAGCCAACAAUUUCACUCUUCACACAUCAUUUUUUCCCAGAACGUAGGCAAAUUUAUCUUCUUUCAGACAACGUGUUUACCAAAGCACAGAGACUCGCACAAUUUGAACUAUGCCCUUCAAAUGGGCGGGAGUACCAUCCAUCUGCCCCAUUUCUCUCAUGCUGGUUCAAAUCAGCUGAUUAGAGACUCCUCUGAUGUCUGUGGUGUUUAUCAACCACUUUACUGACUUUUCUGCCAAAGUCCCGCUACAUGCUGCUCCAACACUAAAUACAAGACAAUGAUUUACACACAUUUCAACAGUUUUCACUGGAAAUAUGUUUCAGUACAGUGUUAGUCCUGAAACAUUGGGCAAUUAAUUUCACUUUGUUAUUCUAACUGACACACAAACAGACAGGCCGACUGUUGGACAGAGUUAGUUGUAGCUCUGUCUUUAGCAGCCAGCGACACAGUUUAGCUUCAGCUUGGGCAGAAGCAGCGCUCCCACUGCAAUUUCUCCAGAAACUGCAUUGUAUUGAGUUUCUGCAGGUUGUCAAGGAUCAGCUGUGAUUUUCUGGCCUCGGUUCUGAAGUCCAACCCCUCCCAUCUGAGACACCUGGACCUGACAGGAAACCACCUGCAGGAUUCAGACGUGAAGGAUCUGUAUGAUCUUGUGGAGAGUCCCGACUGUAGACUGGAGACUCUGAGAUGGAGAAACUAUACAAAUGAGACUGAAGAGGACAGUGUGUGUGUGUGUGUGUUUGUGUGUAUGUGAAGCAGUGAUGACUCUGCAGUCUAAACUGAUCUGAGUCACACACACAGUCCAGUCCACCAUCCUCCCUGUGUGACUCCCCCCAUGAAAAUCAAGUGUUAAUUUGUACAUAUGAUGUUUUUAUAUUGUUGGGACUUGUCAUUCAAGAGACCAUAUGUUUCUUUGCUCCACUGGACAAAGGAACUCACACUCCACAGUUCCUCACCGUUCACACCUGGGGAUGACCCUUCC